CUUAUCUUCAAUAGUUCUACACUGACUGCAAGAUAAAAGCCUUAAACUCUGGCUUAAUUCUUUCUAGUUAUAGCGCCCUUCAUUUUCCAAAGUCAGGGGAUUUUUUGAACGUGUCACUCUGGGAAUGGAGAGCCUCAACUCUCCCAGCAUUGAGUACAAAAUAUUACACGAAUGUGCAUCUUGUUUCCGGUAGAAGGUACGGACAGCUUUAAAGUGUUCGAAAUGAUGUGGCUUUCAGCUGGAUCCUGUCUACACCGAGCGCACACGGUCUCUUAACUACCCAUCUCGCUCUGCGGCCGACCACCACCCCCAGCCUCAACAAGGCUGGGCGGGACUUCCGGGCUUACAUCCGAAGGCGUGGCCCAGCAGAGGGCGGGGCCAAGCGUUCUUCGGCCUCUCGUGGUGUCCUGGGGUGAGGCCACUUACGGUUAGGGUGUCCCGUUUGGACGCUCUGGGGUGCUGGCCCCUCCGAGAGCCUUUCCACGCGUGGCGAGCAUCCAGGCCUUAGGACUAGAAUUUGUAAUCGACCGUGACAGGGUGGCGAAGGUUCCCCAGACUUGAGACUACACGUUUUCUCAGAGCACACUGAAGUAUUCAGGAGUGAAGAAUCAUAUCUGAGAUUCAUAUUAAGGUGGGAUUCCUCCCGCCUGAGUUGGGAGUUUCUGGUUUUGGCCUGAUAAGAGAGACCUGUGCUGAGAAAUGGAAACCUAUACCACUGGCUGCCAGCAUGAGGUGAUCUGCAUCAUCUAUCACAUCUGGGGGUUGGGCUUAUGGUUUUUGCCUUCAUAAGCCCGCUGCUUUGCAAUAAAGUUGAGCCUUGAUUGGAA